rnacentral:rRNA from 1 species
UUGCGUAGGUGGCAUAGUAAGUAGAUAGUGAAAGCGUGUGGCUCAACCAUACAUCCAUUAUCUAAACUGCUAAGCUUGAGAAUGAGAGAGGUAGAUGGAAUUCCUAAUGUAGGGUAAUAUCCGUAGAUAUUAGGAGGAACACCGAUGGCGUAAGCAGUCUACUGGCUCAUUUCUGACACUAAGGCACGAAAGCGUGGGGAGCGAAACG